CCAUCUGCUGCUCGGCCGCGUGGUUGUUAGCCCAUGCGCGCGCCGCCACGCCUACGCGGUUACUCCCGAUCGCCAAUUAAACCACAGGUUUCUCUUACGUGAUGGUCGAGCUAGGUGGAAUUAGAUGGAUAUAUAUCCGGCCGGCCGUACGCAUGCGUGCAUGCACCGUUGGAUCACUGUACGUACAGUGUACACACACUGUGCCACGUUUCGAUUCUGUAUUCCUGCGCGUACGUACGUACGCUCCCACGUUGGUGUGGCCAUUAUUGAUUCUUCACGAUCGAACAGUGGCAGGAAAGGUUCCCUCGCCGUCUCGCGCACGUACAUGCGAGAUCACCAAUGAGCCAUCCAUGCAACAGGGCCACUAACGACGCGGCUGUAUGAGAGAGUGAAUCUUGUUGGAAUGAAAAAAAAAAAGCGAGAAAGGCGUUGGGGGCAGUUAACGCUCCACAAACUCCAGAGCUGAGGGUGACAGCCAUAAUAGAGACGAUCCAGGUGAUGGCUUUACACGUGUUAGCUUAUUUUCCCGAAGGAAAGAGCAUUGAACAGCUAUCUAACCAGGGCCCCCUUUUAUUUGAAAACUCAGCACCUGUACCUUGUAGAUGAAUUCACGAGUUUUCUUUAUGUUAAAAAAGAGGGGCCCGUGUUUAGUUAACCAAUGGCAUGUCACGGUAGAUGUGUUCAUUUUGUACUUGUGUACUAGUAAUUAAUCCCCCUGUUGUUUGAUCCCACGUGAGUACUUUGGCUGUUAUAUAUGUCACUUAGCAGGAGUAGUAGUACAGCAACUAGCAGUA